GAUGCCUCAACAAAUUUAGGCUGUGAGAAGAGAAGGAUUCAGGUUGGGCUAUUUAGAAUCCCUAAUGGAAAAUUGAGGCAAUUUUCAGCACAAAUCUGAGCUUUAUAGGAAAAAAGAAACUCUCCAGUAGCUACAGAGAGAAACUGUGGGAGAGGAGAGAGAAACACAUAUGGCCAUAAUCUUCUCCACCCACUCCAGAUCGGGU
rnacentral:misc_RNA from 1 species